UACGAAGGGUGCAAGCGUUACUCGGAAUUACUGGGCGUAAAGCGUGCGUAGGCGGUUUGUUAAGUCUGUCGUGAAAGCCCCGGGCUCAACCUGGGAAUGGCGGUGGAUACUGGCAGGCUAGAGUACGGUAGAGGAUGGUGGAAUUCCCGGUGUAGCAGUGAAAUGCGUAGAGAUCGGGAGGAACAUCUAUGGCGAAGGCAGCCAUCUGGACCAGUACUGACGCUGAGGCACGAAAGCGUGGGGAGCAAACAGG
rnacentral:rRNA from 2 species